ensembl:snoRNA
GUCCUUUUUAGUUCAUUAGCGUGAUGAUUGGGUGUUCAUACCAUUGUAUGACAUGUGCCUCCCUGUAAAUUGUUAGGAUGUCAGCACAUUACACAUCUGAGU